GUGCAUGCCUAUGUAGGCAGCACAUAUACUAAAAUUGGAAUGAUACAGAGAGAUUAGCAUGGCCCUUCUGGAAGGAUGAUACACAAGACAUUUUCCACAUAAAU